AGUGAACGCUGGCGGUAGGCCCAACACAUGCAAGUCGAACGGCAGCACAGUAAGAGCUUGCUCUUACGGGUGGCGAGUGGCGGACGGGUGAGGAAUACAUCGGAAUCUACUUUUUCGUGGGGGAUAACGUAGGGAAACUUACGCUAAUACCGCAUACGACCUACGGGUGAAAGCAGGGGAUCUUCGGACCUUGCGCGAUUGAUUGAGCCGAUGUCGGAUUAGCUAGUUGGCGGGGUAAAGGCCCACCAAGGCGACGAUCCGUAGCUGGUCUGAGAGGAUGAUCAGCCACACUGGAACUGAGACACGGUCCAGACUCCUACGGGAGGCAGCAGUGGGGAAUAUUGGACAAUGGGCGCAAGCCUGAUCCAGCCAUACCGCGUGGGUGAAGAAGGCCUUCGGGUUGUAAAGCCCUUUUGUUGGGAAAGAAAAGCAGCAGGUUAAUACCCCGCUGUUCUGACGGUACCCAAAGAAUAAGCACCGGCUAACUUCGUG
rnacentral:rRNA from 1 species